rnacentral:rRNA from 1 species
GAUGAACGCUGGCGGCGUGCCUAAUACAUGCCAGUCGAGCGAACAGACGAGGAGCUUGCUCCUCUGACGUUAGCGGCGGACGGGUGAGUAACACGUGGACAACCUACCUAUAAGACUGGGAUAACUUCGGGAAACCGGAGCUAAUACCGGAUAAUAUAUUGAACCGCAUGGUUCAAUAGUGAAAGACGGUUUUGCUGUCACUUAUAGAUGGAUCCGCGCCGCAUUAGCUAGUUGGUAAGGUAACGGCUUACCAAGGCAACGAUGCGUAGCCGACCUGAGAGGGUGAUCGGCCACACUGGAACUGAGACACGGUCCAGACUCCUACGGGAGGCAGCAGUAGGGAAUCUUCCGCAAUGGGCGAAAGCUUGACGGAGCAACGCCGCGUGAGUGAUGAAGGUCUUCGGAUCGUAAAACUCUGUUAUUAGGGAAGAACAAAUGUGUAAGUAACUAUGCACGUCUUGACGGUACCUAAUCAGAAAGCCACGGCUAACUACGUG